UCAAUUUUUAUGAUUCUUUCAGUGUUAAAGAAAAUGGAUUUUUACCUGAAUAAAUUGCAUGUAUAGAUAUGUAGAUGAUGAACUCAACAAGCGGAUCUUUCAAGGUUAAUUCACUUUGCACAUUUUACUAAAUAGAUGCAACGGCAUAGCACCUUCAAUAUCAUGCUUGCACUCACAUGUUGUUCCAACAGCACCAUGAAUGCUGCCCAGAAUUGCCAUGCCUUCAGCUUUUGCUAUAAGUUCCUAUGCUGCUCCUUUUCAGGUGACUUUUCAUGCGAUUUCUACUUCUAAAAAUUAGAAAAUACCUUCAGAUCAAAGCAGCGGAUUUGUAGAUGUUUGGGAAUUGGUGUUACUCCAUCUCCAUCCGGACAACGGUCUUUGGUCACUGAUUCUGAGCUUUCAGGUCCUAGAUGAGAAGGUAAGGAUGUACUUGAACAUUAUGAGAAGACCCAGUUCCAUCACCUCAGAAGCGAGAAGUUAACCAUUUAAUAUCAUUGGUUCUAAAAUUUGUUUAAGAAAAAUGUUCAUUCUGCUAUUAGGACCACGAUUAUGUGUCAAUUGUAGAUUCUUAAUUGCUUGGAAUUAUUUUAUAUGUUUGGUUCCUUCGGUUCAUAUUUAUUCAGCAAAAAAAUAUUUUCAAGAUUGGUCCAUUUGAGGAUCAAACUUCG